GGACAGAACAAAUUAUGGGGCUCCUCAGGCAGAAGUGUCCUGCUUUGGAUAAUUUAUAUGGCCACUCCUGUAAGAAAAGGAACAGAUUUUCAAAUCCUACUUCAUGUGGUUCCAGAAUCUCUGCUUUUUGCCUCUUUCUCAUCCUCUGUGAGUGCAAUUGUGGCUUUCCUCAUCAGGCGCUGGGCAGUAGCCCUGGGUGAGGUAGGAGGAUGUGGGUCCUGGACGAUAAACGGCUGCUCCCCAGAACCUAGAGCACUUCCGCAGGGAGAGAAUUUCACAGCUCAUUGACUGCUCUGACUCCUAAUCUACACCGAGGAAACAAUGUUGCAGCUCAUCAAAUGCAAUCAGCUGCUAAUUGAAAGGAAAUGGAAUUUUACAAUUACAGGCCACCUUUCAGUGCUCAGGAUUUCUAAGCACUUCUCCCCACCUUCCUUUGCCAGCUCAGCACUGGCAGGAGCACUUGACAACCUGCUAGAGACUUCCCUAAAAGCUGCAUUUAGGACCUGGCCCGUUCUCCCCAGCUCCAGAGCAGCAGCAAAGGGAAGCAGCGUCCUCGCCAAUACCUGGGCUGUCCUUCAAGGCUCAGUGCAAGGAAAAACACCUGGGUUGGACAUCAGAUAAGGAAAUUGAGACUCAAAGAGGACCCCCAUGGAGAAAGUAAUGAAGCUUGAAUUUAGACCCAAGAUCAUGUCCCUUUCACUUCCUCAGCCUGCCCAGGAAGUUUAUAGCGUGCUCAUGCCACAAACCCUGGAGCUGGAUACGCGCUCAAUUGGCUUGAAGACCUUGGGUCACACUCCACUCCAACCGUAGCUCCUGUUACCGACUCAGGAGCAAACAAACCAGCCCAGAAGUCACAGUGCUGACUUCCAGACCACUGAGGUCACCUGCAUAAGCGAGUCUGGCAACAAAUAAUCGUCUUCCAGAAAAUGACCAGAAACUCAGCCUGCUUUUUGUCAUUUCACCAGCCCCACCAUCUUUCCUUUAUUCUAGAGCUCCUGGCACACUUACAUGAAUCUCUUGAAAGAAGAGAAAUGAGAGCAUUCAUUCCAUACUAAUACAAUUGUGCCCUAUGGAAAGGCUUUUUGCUGGCAGACAUAGUAGACGGACCAUUUCCCAACUUCUUUUUCUUUGCCACCUUCCAGCCAAAGGUGUCCAUAUGACACAGCUCUGGACAGGAUAAUUGGAAGUCUGUUGUGGGAUUUCUGAGAAAGCUUUUGAUUUUCUGACAGAGACAUUUUUGCUUCCCCUUACCACUUCCUACUGGAUUACAGAUGUGAUGGAAAGAGCUGCAGCAGCCAUAAUACAACCAUAAAGGAGAGGAGAAGAGAAUUGCAAAGGCAUCAACCCACAUUGAAUUGAACUGCUAAGUUAACACUAGCAGUUACUUGCCUCCAGAUAUCUUGGUGUGUGAGAACAUUAAAUCUGUAUGUGUCUAAAUCAGUAUGGGUGAACAUUUCUGUCACUAAAGUCAAAAGCAUCCCUGAAACAGUGCAUGAUUCCAUAUGACCCUUACCACAA
rnacentral:lncRNA from 1 species